UACGGGGGGGGCAAGGGUUGUUCGGAAUUACUGGGCGUAAAGGGUUUGUAGGUGGCUUGUUAAGUCAGACGUGAAAUCCCUCAGCUUAACUGGGGAACUGCGUCUGAUACUGGCGAGCUUGAGUGCAGGAGAGGAACGCGGAAUUCCAGGUGUAGCGGUGAAAUGCGUAGAUAUCUGGAGGAACACCGGUGGCGAAGGCGGCAUCCUGGACCAACACUGACACUGAGGAGCGAAAGCCAGGGGAGCAAACGGG
rnacentral:rRNA from 1 species